UCAUGGCCCUUAUGGGUAGGGCUUCACACGUCAUACAAUGGUCGGUACAGAGGGUCGCCAAGCCGCGAGGUGGAGCUAACCCCAGAAAACCGAUCGUAGUCCGGAUCGCAGUCUGCAACUCGACUGCGUGAAGCUGGAAUCGCUAGUAAUCGCGGAUCAGCAUGUCGCGGUGAAUACGUUCCC
rnacentral:rRNA from 1 species